rnacentral:rRNA from 1 species
AUUGAACGCUGGCGGCAGGCCUAACACAUGCAAGUCGAACGAGUGGCGGACGGGUGAGUAAUGUCUGGAAAAGUGCCUGAUGGAGGGGUAUAACUACUGGAAACGGUAGCUAAUACCGCAUACUAUGCGUUGUGCCCAUAUGGGAUUCGCUAGUAGGUGGGGUAAAGGCUCACCGAGGCGACGAUCCCUAGCUGGUCUGAGAGGAUGACCAGCCACACUGGAACUGAGACACGGUCCAGACUCCUACGGGAGGCAGCAGUGGGGAAUAUUGGACAAUGGGCGCAAGCCUGAUGCAGCCAUGCCGCGUGUAUGAAGAAGGCCUUCGGGUUGUAAAGUACUUUCAGCGGGGAGGCGUUACCCGCAGAAGAAGCACCGGCUAACUCCGUGCCAGCAGCCGCGGUAAUUC